AUUGAACGCUAGCUGUAUGCUUAACACAUGCAAGUCGAACGGCAGCGCGAGGAGCUUGCUCCUUGGCGGCGAGUGGCGGACGGGUGAGUAACGCGUAGGAAUCUACCAAGUAGAGGGGGACAACUCGAGGAAACUCGGGCUAAUACCGCAUAAUCCCUUCGGGGGAAAGCAGGGGAUCUUCGGACCUUGCGCUACUUGAUGAGCCUGCGUAGGAUUAGCUUGUUGGUGGGGUAAAGGCCUACCAAGGCGACGAUCCUUAGCUGGUCUGAGAGGAUGAUCAGCCACACUGGGACUGAGACACGGCCCAG
rnacentral:rRNA from 1 species